rnacentral:rRNA from 1 species
GAAAGGCGCGCGAUACAGGGUGACAGCCCCGUACACAAAAAUGCACAUGCUGUGAGCUCGAUGAGUAGGGCGGGACACGUGGUAUCCUGUCUGAAUAUGGGGGGACCAUCCUCCAAGGCUAAAUACUCCUGACUGACCGAUAGUGAACCAGUACCGUGAGGGAAAGGCGAAAAGAACCCCGGCGAGGGGAGUGAAAAAGAACCUGAAACCGUGUACGUACAAGCAGUGGGAGCCUCUUUAUGGGGUGACUGCGUACCUUUUGUAUAAUGGGUCAGCGACUUAUAUUCUGUAGCAAGGUUAACCGAAUAGGGGAGCCGAAGGGAAACCGAGUCUUAACUGGGCGUUAAGUUGCAGGGUAUAGACCCGAAACCCGGUGAUCUAGCCAUGGGCAGGUUGAAGGUUGGGUAACACUAACUGGAGGACCGAACCGACUAAUGUUGAAAAAUUAGCGGAUGACUUGUGGCUGGGGGUGAAAGGCCAAUCAAACCGGGAGAUAGCUGGUUCUCCCCGAAAGCUAUUUAGGUAGCGCCUCGUGAAUUCAUCUCCGGGGGUAGAGCACUGUUUCGGCAAGGGGGUCAUCCCGACUUACCAACCCGAUGCAAACUGCGAAUACCGGAGAAUGUUAUCACGGGAGACACACGGCGGGUGCUAACGUCCGUCGUGAAGAGGGAAACAACCCAGACCGCCAGCUAAGGUCCCAAAGUCAUGGUUAAGUGGGAAACGAUGUGGGAAGGCCCAGACAGCCAGGAUGUUGGCUUAGAAGCAGCCAUCAUUUAAAGAAAGCGUAAUAGCUCACUGGUCGAGUCGGCCUGCGCGGAAGAUGUAACGGGGCUAAACCAUG